AAAAGAAUAUGUACUCUGCAGGUGUGGGGUAUAGUGAUUCAUAAAUAUCAGUAAGUUCAAGGCUGUUGGUACUGUUAUUUAAAUCUUUUUAUGCUUACUGAUUAUUUUUUUUUUCUUUUCUUUCAUCCUGAAGAACUUCUGCUGGUAACACAUUCUCUCAGCCUUUACUUAUUUGAAACUGCCUUUAUUUUGUCCUCACUUUUGAAUACUAUUUUCACUUGAUACAGAGUACU
rnacentral:lncRNA from 10 species